rnacentral:sRNA from 1 species
GGAAGGCGAAGUCCACAUUGCUCAUGUUCCACCACGACGUGAAGUUGAAACCGGAGAUGGAGUUUGAUGGUGGAGUUCUAGCUUUGCCGGCUGUUUUUGUAGCAGAGUCUUUUGUCGGAGUUGAAGCUCUGGUUUCACAGCGGCUUCGAAAACGAAAAGGAAAAAGAGUGAGACUUGAAGAGGAGGAGGAUGACGAACCUGAAUUGGGGGUUGACGCUAACAACGAAGAAGACUGCGGUGUGUAUGGUGAUGAAGACUGCGAUGCUGUGGAAGACAUAGUCGGUGGUGGAGAGAAUGAUGAUAAUUGAUAAUAGGUUUUUAAGAUCAAUUAAUCCUAAAACACUAUCAUGUCGUUGUAGUACUGAAGGUUGUCAAUCCAAAUGGGUGUGAUGCUAACAAUCAAGAUUUGAUCAGAAAUUACUAAGUCAAGCCAAGCAAUAACAGGUUUUGGUGUGUUCUAGCAGUCCUAAGUGAACAUGCAGAAAACAAAAACAAUAAAACACUCGACCAACACAGCUCGUUGCAGAGCACUGGGUGUGGUCGAGUGACUUGGUCGAGUAACAGGCAGUAAACGAAACAGGGAUACUCGACUGCACAGUCUGUUGCCAAACAACUAGGUGGUCGAGUAUCAGGUCGAGUAACAGGAGAGAAAUGCAAAAACUAAGCAACAGGUAACAAGAUGCAGUAAACAACAACAAAGUAAACAAUAAAAUUAAUCAGAUAAAGAAUUCCCGAGGAUGCGGUAAUUGAGUAGUUUUGUUUCCACAGUUUAUAGGUGAUUGACAUGCUCAAUAAAUUAUCCCUAGACAACAAGUUCCUUAACCAAAUCUAAGUGCCACCGCAACAGAGACCCUCAAGUUAACCUAGUCUCAAACUCAAUCACCAUUGACGAGAGCUAAUCUAACAGGCAUUACGAAUCAACAAGUUAAAGCCAAAAUGCUCCCUGCAACGAAUACCUUGGUACAAGGCCACGAAUUUCUGGAAUUAGUGGUUCUGACAUUUCAUCGAACACCUUUUGGGCGCGGAAAGGUCUGGGCUCAAAUUCCAGUUGAUCAGAAAGCAAUAGGCAUUAAGAUCAACUAAUCCAGAAGGGAUCUAUCAAUCAAACUCAACCACCUAGCAUACUAAGAAUUCUACACUACUCUAACUCAUCCUCAGAAACCUAUUCACUACUGAGACAUCAUUGUAGAGAACAUAAACGUUGAAUAGAAUGAAAACAUGAUAACAAUAGAGUAAUAGCAAGGUGAUAAUAGGAUGAACAAGAGUAAACAAAAUCAAGAACAAAAUACUGAAUAUUGAAU